rnacentral:rRNA from 1 species
UAAGGAAUAUUGGUCAAUGGGCGCAAGCCUGAACCAGCCAUGCCGCGUGCAGGAAGACUGCCCUAUGGGUUGUAAACUGCUUUUGUACCAGAAUAAACCUUCUCUCGUGAGAGGAGCUGAAUGUAUGGUAAGAAUAAGGAUCGGCUAACUCCGUGCCAGCAGCCGCGGUAAUACGGAGGAUCCAAGCGUUAUCCGGAUUUAUUGGGUUUAAAGGGUGCGUAGGCGGCCUGUUAAGUCAGAGGUGAAAACUUGCAGCUCAACUGUAAGCUUGCCUUUGAUACUGAUGGGCUUGAAUGAACUAGAGGUAGGCGGAAUGUGACAAGUAGCGGUGAAAUGCAUAGAUAUGUCACAGAACACCAAUUGCGAAGGCAGCUUACUAUGGUUUAAUUGACGCUGAGGCACGAAAGCGUGGGGAUCAAACA